rnacentral:tRNA from 1 species
GGUCUAAUGGUCUAGUGGUAUGAUUCUCGCUUCGGGUGCGAGAGGCCCCGCGUUCGAAUCGCGGUUAGACCC